AGAAGACUCCAGUACAAACAACACACACCAUGUUCUCUACAUCUCUACUGCUCCUGCUGGCAGCUGCUUCUUAUGUACAUGGUGAGGAACUGACUCAGCCUGCUUCCAUGACAGUCCAGCCAGGCCAGAGUCUCUCCAUCCACUGCAAGGUUUCAUAUUCAGUUACAAGCUAUUAUACAGCUUGGAUCCGACAACCUGCAGGAAAAGCUCUGGAGUGGGUCUCACUUAUGCGUUAUGAUGGAAACACUUACUACAGUGAGAAAUUGAAAAGCAGGUUUCAGGUUUCCAGAGACACGUCCAGCAACACAGUGACAUUAACAGGACAGAACAUGCAGACUGAAGACACAGCUGUGUAUUACUGCGCUCGGGAACCACAGUGA